CAGCAGUAGCCGCGGGAAUACGGAGGGUGCAAGCGUUAAUCGGAAUUACUGGGCGUAAAGCGCACGCAGGCGGUUUGUUAAGUCAGAUGUGAAAUCCCCGAGCUUAACUUGGGAACUGCAUUUGAAACUGGCAAGCUAGAGUCUUGUAGAGGGGGGUAGAAUUCCAGGUGUAGCGGUGAAAUGCGUAGAGAUCUGGAGGAAUACCGGUGGCGAAGGCGGCCCCCUGGACAAAGACUGACGCUCAGGUGCGAAAGCGUGGGGAGCAAACAGGAUUAGAUACCCGCGUAGUCCCUGUCUCUUAUAC
rnacentral:rRNA from 1 species